rnacentral:piRNA from 1 species
UAUCAGUGAAUCCUUGGAGCUGGUGCUGC